UAUACAGUAGGUCAGGGAUUACAAACAUUUAUACAGUUGGUCAGGGAUUACAAACAUUUAUACAGUAGGUCAGGGAUUACAAACAUUUAUACAGUAGGUCAGGGAUUACAAACAUUUAACAGCAGGUCAGGAAUUACAAACAUUUAUACAGUAGGUCAGGGAUUACAAACAUAUACAGUAGGUCAGGGAUUACAAACAUUUAUACAGUAGGUCAGGGAUUACAAACAUUUAACAGUAAAUCAGGGAUUACAAACAUUUAUACAGUGGGUCAGGGAUUACAAACAUUUAUACAGUAGGUCAGGGAUUACAAACAUUUAACAGUAGGUCAGGAAUUACAAACAUUUAUACAGUAGGUCAGGGAUUACAAACAUAUACAGUAGGUCAGGGAUUACAAACAUUUAUACAGUAGGUCAGGAAUUACAAACAUUUAUACAGUAGGUCGGGGAUUACAAACAUUUAUACAGUAGGUCGGGGAUUACAACCAUUUAUACAGUAGGUCGGGGAUUACAAACAUUUAUACAGUAGGUCAGGGAUUACAAACAAUGCAUUGGAGGAACAGUUGACAUACUUCACACCAAAGUCCUACUUUCACCAUAGCUGUUGGUCCAAAACUAAUGAGGAUUUGAGCAGAAUGAGGGACAAGUGGUAGAAAAUGGAUGGAUGGAGGCUAACAUGUUUAUUUUUGCUGGUUGUGUAUUGUCUAGCGUACAUUAUGCCAGCAGGAGCGUGUUAGAGAGCCUCUGGUCACUAUAAACUCUGCAUGAAUGUAGCAGCCAAGUGCAUCAAAAAGUGACACAAAGUUGCUCCAAAAGUUUUAUUAUACAGUAAACACUACUGUGACCAAACAAUAGCAUGUUUUAUUGUAAGUUUAUGAGCUGGAGUAUUUUUACAACAAUUUUCAGAGGUAUUAUUUUGGUUUAUUUGGUCAUAGAAACUGACUUCAGAAGGAGUGAACUUCAUGCUUCCAGCACAACAACACACACGUCCUCGGUAGCAAACAUGGCGCCUGUGGUGGAGUUGUCCAUACACGACUCUGACCGCUGGUACACGCAGCACACUUUGAGAAUCACUACACUACUGAGUGUUUCAAAUACUAAUGUUUUCUAUGGUAUUAGUUUGUGUUUUAUGUUUAUGCUUUUUUUAAUGCACACUUGUCAGGAAGAGGUCACUUCCUGCCAACACUGCAAGUGAGUCCACUGUUUGCUUUAUGUGUGCUGGCUCUCAUGACGGAUGCAGUGUUCACAGCGGACGUCCUCAAGUCCUGCACAUGGACAUCGCUGUCUAAACAAUGCAUACAUUGUGAUACCAUGGCGACUUUCUUGAUGUAAUGAUACCAGCUGGUUUUCAACUUGACAAAUACAGCCACAGUCUGACUAUGCUGUCCAUGUACCUUUGCUUGGUGAUUAUUCCUAGAUUACAUUCAAUAUGUGGUUCAUUAAUAGUUUUCAUUGUUUGUUUCCCUCAUAGCUGUUUUCCUUUGUUAGCGAGCUAGCAUCAUGUACAGUGGACCCGUUUAUGUCCAUGCUGCUCGACAUACACAAUAUCUGUCAGGUUCAAACCCCAAUGGCAUCUUUUAAACAGACAAGAAGCAAGGAAUUAAACACAGACAUAAUUCAAUUUGGCUCAUGAGGAGAAAUGUCUGGGCUGCACUCUUGUACAGUUUUCCACCACGCUCUGACCAAAUGGUUGCACGCCUCUUUUAUUUGGACUUUCCCUGAUUACAUAGCAAGAGAUGGGGUCUUAAAACAGUUCAAAGAAAAGAUGCCUGGAGCUUGCGUCAGGUCCUUUGUAGAUCUCAGUUCAAGACAAGAUCUUCCAGUGGAUCACAAUAGAUCAAAGAAACUGACACCUUCAUGUCGCUUCCCAUCGUUCACAGUGGAGUUUUACAAGCCUUUUGCUUGGUUAGAUCAAAGACAGCUUUUGUAUCCUCAUGGGAACAGAAAGUUUUGUGGCAAUUUACAUACAAUUAUUCUGACAAUGUCUCUCGACGUAAUCCAACCCAACUGAACAGGAAGUCAUUAAAAGAGUCACUGAAACAUAUUUAAAUGCUGCAUACUGUCACUAAGCAGAAGUCAUGUUGCUGCUGUCCUUUCACACUGUUUUGCAAUAAUGAAGAAGAUAAUACAACACAUACUUUUCAUUGA